rnacentral:lncRNA from 10 species
CUGCAGUUAACAUUGACUUUGUUUGUAGCUGAAGGGAUGAAUGAACUGUAAGGCCCCAAGUUAAAGAACUCUAUUCAGCCGGGCGCGGUGGCUUAUGCCUGUAAUCCCAGCACUUUGGAAGGCCGAGGCGGGCGGAUCAUCUGAGGUUGGGAGUUCAAGACCAGCCUGACCAACAUGGAGAAACCCCGUCUCUACUAAAAAUACAAAAUUAGCCUGGGGUGGUGACACACGCCUGUAAUUCCAGCUACUAAGGAAGGCUGAGGCAGGAGAAUUGCCUGAAUCUGGGAGGCGGAGGUUGCAGUGAGCCGAGAUCGUGCCAUUGCUCUCCAGCCUGGGCAACAAAAGCGAAACUCCAUCUCUAAAAACAAAAACAAAAACAAAAACAAAACUCCAUUCAAAAGUAAAGUAGAAACACUAUCUUGAUGCACCAAAAGACCAACUGCUCACAACUUUGGUUCCAAGGUCUGGAGAAUUUGCUGAGUCUGUGAGGCCUGGAGUUUCACAGCCAGUAUCCAAACAGGGACUAUUUCUGAUUAAUGUGUUGCUAGGUAACUCAUAAUUAUACAAGCAAAGAAGCAAGUUCAAUGUAAUAUAACUCACAUUGAUUUUUUUGGCUAUGCUGUAAGAGCUUGAUGUUAAUGUAUAGGAAAAAAAUUCCCAAUAUCCCCCAAACAUUUU